CCUACGGGUGGCAGCAGUGAGGAAUAUUGGUCAAUGGACGAGAGUCUGAACCAGCCAAGUAGCGUGAAGGAUGACUGCCCUAUGGGUUGUAAACUUCUUUUAUAUGGGAAUAAAACAGGGUAUGCAUACCCUCUUGCAUGUACUUUAUGCAUAAGGCUCGGCUAACUCCGUGCCAGCAGCCGCGGUAAUACGGAGGAGCCGAGCGUUAUCCGGAUUUAUUGGGUUUAAAGGGAGCGUAGAUGGGUUGUUAAGUCAGUUGUGAAAGUUUGCGGCUCAACCGUAAAAUUGCAAUUGAUACUGGCAGUCUUGAGUACAGUUGAGGGAGGCGGAAUUCGGGGUGUAGCGGUGAAAUGCUUAGAUAUCACGAAGAACCCCGAUGGCGAAGGCAGCUUACUAAACUGUGACUGACAUUGAUGCUCGAAAGUGUGGGGAGCAAACAGGAUUAGAUACCCUUGUAGGC
rnacentral:rRNA from 1 species